UUGGAGUAAAUCGUUUAGGGUGGAAGGCUACAUCGUCACAUAAUGUCUGACUUCCGUUCGAAACGCCAUUGUGUUCCGGAUUGAUAACAUUAUGUCGUGGUACAAAAUAGCUAUACACCGUUUAAUUGAACUCUUCUAACUAAGGAGAUGAGAUAGGAAUGAAGUCACCAAAACGCUUAGAAAAUAUGUCAAUUUUCUUCCUGUUGAAAGCUUUUAACUAACAUUGAUUAUCAGCUGUUUUGUACGGAAAACGUGGAAUCUAAAUAAUAUACCGUUUCCCUGCUCUGCUGCUAUUGGCAAUACAUUUUUGUCAUGUCAUCUGCAACAGACGAUCAUACAUAUAUGGCGGAUUAACGACUAAGAUACAGCUAGGUAGCAAUAGCAGUGGAAGCCCGGAUUUGCAAGCCAAAAUGAGGGAAAGACAGAAUUCUGAAAAGGAGCAUGUUUUUCAUUUCCACACAUGCAUGUGUAUCACUACGGACAUCUAAUGUUUUUGUGGGAUUUUGUCCAGCAGUUUGCCUUAAAAGAAUUUUUUUAUAUUUCAGUUUCAUAUUUAUGUGGAUUCCAAUAAAAAUCAUACAAACUUCAUUCAUGAUUUUUUUGUUUUUCAUUUCUAAACUUAAUAACAUUUCACUUUCAUAAGAAUUUUAAAACAGAAAUGUUUAAAAAUUUGAUAAACAAGGGGUUAUCUGGAACCAGACUGAUAUUUUAAAAAUUCUCUAGAAAAUAGUGUAUUGUAUUUUGAGGUAUAUUAUUGUUGAAUACUGUGCCUAGUAUUGGUAACAAAUGCAUGCAACAAAAAUCUCCUACACUUAUUUGGUGUAGAGAUCCACCU